CUCUUAGCAACACCGACCGGAGCCGCGACGGCCAAUCAGCGCGGCCGGGGGCGGGGCUUCCCGUAGAGGCGGUGACGGCGGGCGACUUCCGGCAAUAUUCUCGGUGCAACGCAGUCGGUGCGCACUGAGGCUGUCGCGUCGGGUGAGGCCAGGAGAACUAUGCCAUUCCUGGGUCAGGACUGGAGAUCUCCUGGGUGGAGUUGGAUUAAAACUGAAGAUGGCUGGAAAAGAUGCGAGUCCUGCAAUCCGGAGCUGGGAAGAGAAAGCAGCCAGUGUAGUCUCAGCCAUGACGUGUGGGAGGAGCUGUUGAACACCCUGCUCUGUUUGGCCUCUGGUCUCAGUAUGUUAAAUAGUGAAGAUGAAGAGAUAUUCAAUAAUGAAGAAUGUGAAUAUGCGUCCAAAAAAAGGAAAAAGGACCAUUUCAGAAAUGACACAAAUACUCAAAGUUUUUAUCGUGAAAAAUGGAUCUAUGUCCAUAAAGAAAGCACAAAAGAAAGGCACGGCUACUGCACUCUAGGGGAGGCGUUCAACCGCCUGGACUUCUCCAGUGCCAUCCAGGAUAUCCGGAGGUUUACAUACGUGGUCAAACUAUUGCAGCUGAUUGCAAAAUCCCAGUUAACUUCAUUGAGUGGUGUUGCACAGAAGAAUUACUUCAACAUUCUGGAUAAAAUUGUUCAGAAGGUGCUCUGUGACCACCAGAACCCUCGCCUGAUCAAGAACCUCCUGCAGGACCUGAGCUCCACCCUCUGCACCCUCAUUAGAGGGGUAGGGAAGUCAGUGUUGGUGGGCAACAUCAACAUUUGGAUUUGCCGUUUAGAAACCGUCCUUAACUGGCAACAACAACUACAGAACCUUCAGAUGACGAAGCAGGUGAAUGAUGGCCUCACCCUCAGCGACCUGCCAUUACACACGCUGAGCAACAUCCUCCACCGCUUCUCAGACGGGUGGGAUGUCGUCACCCUGGGCCAGGUGACGCCCACCCUGUACGUGCUCAGCGAGGACAGGCAACUGUGGAAGAAGCUGUGUCAGUACCAUUUUGCUGAAAAGCAGUUUUGUAGACAUUUGAUCCUUUCAGAAAAAGGACAUGUAGAAUGGAAGUUGAUGUAUUUCACACUUCAGAAGUAUUACCCAACCAAGGAGCAGUAUGGAGACACCUUGCAUUUUUGCCGGCACUGCAGCAUCCUCUUCUGGAAGGGAACAGCCCUGCAGGCCCUUCGGUGGCAUGACGUGUUUUCUUGGCUGGUUACUGUCUCAUCCUGGAAUGCGUUUCGGUGGUGAACCUGGCAUUUGAUGGUGUGGAUGUUGGGGCUUCAGUGGGGAAAAGGACUACCAUCUCGCUUGGCUCCUGAAGGACUCAGGUCACCCCUGCACUGCGGCUGACCCGGACAGCUGCUUCACGCCCGUGUCCCCACAGCACUUCAUCGAUCUCUUCAAAUUCUAAAGGCAGCCCUCACCCUGCUGGGCCGUCAGAUGUGAGCACCGCGCAUUCUGCGCUUAGCUGGUGGAGUGUUCUCGUGACCAAAACCAGGACGGUUCUGCUACUGGCCGUAUCUGGAGGCCCACACUUCUGGAAAGAACUGGAAAGAACAUGAAAACUGCCACUCCGGGCUGUGCAGCAGGAAUGGUGGUUGUACGUUUCUGUCUUUGAAGGAGUCAGGAGACCCAAGAAAAUCAUUUCUGUUCUUCCUUUUAAACUUCUUUUCUUCUAAGCAUCUUAAAAUUUGCAAUUUUGUAUAUUUAUAAAUCAGAUCAAAAAAGAUUUUUGGUUCUAAACUCUACAUUCUGUGCUAAAUAGAUAUGAAUGACCAAGAAUAUGCUUCUGGGGUGUCAAGUGACAGUUUUCCAUGGACAUCUUCCACCCCACAGGGGAAGAGGGGAGAACACUGAUCCUUGUAAAUUUACAUUAUAAGAAAAAAUAAAUAUCACACACAGUUACUUUCACAAAA